rnacentral:rRNA from 1 species
AUUGAACGCUGGCGGCAGGCCUAACACAUGCAAGUCGAACGGUAACAGGAAACAGCUUGCUGUUUCGCUGACGAGUGGCGGACGGGUGAGUAAUGUCUGGGAAACUGCCUGAUGGAGGGGGAUAACUACUGGAAACGGUAGCUAAUACCGCAUAACGUCGCAAGACCAAAGAGGGGGACCCUCGGGCCUCUUGCCAUCGGAUGUGCCCAGAUGGGAUUAGCUUGUUGGUGGGGUAACGGCUCACCAAGGCGACGAUCCCCAGCUGGUCUGAGAGGAUGACCAGCCACACUGGAACUGAGACACGGUCCAGACUCCUACGGGAGGCAGCAGUGGGGAAUAUUGCACAAUGGGCGCAAGCCUGAUGCAGCCAUGCCGCGUGUAUGAAGAAGGCCUUCGGGUUGUAAAGUACUUUCAGCGGGGAGGAAGGGAGUAAAGUUAAUACCUUUGCUCAUUGACGUUACCCGCAGAAGAAGCACCGGCUAACUCCGUG